rnacentral:rRNA from 1 species
GACGAACGCUGGCGGCGUGCCUAAUACAUGCAAGUAGGACGCAGUUGCGAACGGGUGAGUAACGCGUAGGUAACUGCCUAUUAGAGGGGGAUAACUAUUGGAAACGAUAGCUAAUACCGCAUACUAGUAGAUGGACCUGCGUUGUAUUAGCUAGUAGGUAGGGUAAUGGGCUACCUAGGCGGCGAUACAUAGCCGACCCUGGAUGGUGAGCGGCCACACUGGGACCGGGGAACGGGCCAGACUCCCACCGGAGGGAGCCGUAGGGGAUCUUCGGCCAUGGGGGGAACCCCGAACGCGGAAAUCCGCGGGAGUGGAGAAAGGUUUCGGAUCGGAAAACUCUGUUGUGAAGGAAGCGGUACUUAACCAGAAAGGGACGGCUAACUACGUGCCAGCAGCCGCGGUAAUAC